rnacentral:ncRNA from 1 species
CGACGUGACUCGGGGUGUCCCGGGGCCCGAUUGCGGGUCCUGAGGGGCUGAGAUCAAACCCGUCGAACCUGCUCUGGAAACCUACCUGCGAAGGGAUGUCACUCGUGACACAG